CCUACGGGUGACAGCAGUCGAGAAUCAUUCACAAUGGGGGAAACCCUGAUGGUGCGACGCCGCGUGGGGGAAUGAAGGUCUUCGGAUUGUAAACCCCUGUCAUGUGGGAGCAAAUUAAAAAGAUCGUACCACAAGAGGAAGAGACGGCUAACUCUGUGCCAGCAGCCGCGGUAAUACAGAGGUCUCAAGCGUUGUUCGGAAUCACUGGGUGUAAAGCGUGCGUAGGCUGUUUCGUAAGUCGUGUGUGAAAGGCGCGGGCUCAACCCGCGGACGGCACAUGAUACUGCGAGACUAGAGUAAGGGAGGGGGAACCGGAAUUCUCGGUGUAGCAGUGAAAUGCGUAGAUAUCGAGAGGAACACUCGUGGCGAAGGCGGGUUCCUGGACAUUAACUGACGCUGAGGCACGAAGGCCAGGGGAGCGAAAGGGAUUAGAUACCCGGGUAGUC
rnacentral:rRNA from 1 species